GACGAACGCUGGCGGCGUGCUUAACACAUGCAAGUCGAACGAGUGGCGAACGGGUGAGUAACGCAUCGGAACGUACCGAGUAAUGGGGGAUAACUGUCCGAAAGGACAGCUAAUACCGCAUAUUAUUCGAGCGGCCGAUGUCUGAUUAGCUGGUUGGCGGGGUAAAGGCACACCAAGGCGACGAUCAGUAGCGGGUCUGUGAGGAUGAACCGCCACAAUGGGACUGUGAAACGGACCAGACUCCUACGUGAGGCAGCAGUGGGGAAUUUUGGACAAUGGGCGCAAGCCUGAUCCAGCCAUGCCGCGUGUCUGAAGAAGGCCUUCGGGUUGUAAAGUACUUUCAGCGGGGAGGCGUUACCCGCAGAAGAAGCACCGGCUAACUCCGUGCCAGCAGCCGCGGUAAUUC
rnacentral:rRNA from 1 species